AUCUUGGGGUUCUGUGGCCUGAGAAUCCUAAAGGCCCACGGCAGUUUCCUCCCCCUAUCCUAGGGAUUGUGGUGAGCUGCUCUGUGAGAUUAUUGGAAAUAAGGAAGCUAGUAAAGUAAUUGUGAUGUACUGCUUCAUCACCUACCAGUGCUCUGAACACAGUCUGUUAGGAGUUUUUGUCAUUAUGCAACAUCACAGAGUGGACUUACACAAACUCAGAUGACAUAGCCUAGACCAAAUGAUAAAACUAACAGCUCCUCAGCUGGGAACCUAUAGCGUAGUACUAUGUUGAAUAGUGUGUGCUAUUGUAACAUAUUGGUAAGUUAUUUCUAUGUCUAAAACAAACAAACAAACAAACAAACAAAAAGAUAGAGUAGUAAUUUGCUAUAAAAUAAAGAAGGGUGCAUUUCUUUACCAUUAACAGAGCUUAUGGGACUAGAAGUUGUUCUAGAUGAGUCAGCUUAAAACACAAAUAUAUUGUAUAGCUGUUAAAACUCUAUUCUUCUUCAAAUCACUGUUCUAUAAGUGUUCAAGGUUUAAGGGACUAGAGAGAUGGCUGUGUGGCUAAGAGCACUUGUUGCUCUUCCAGAGGACCUGAGUUUGGACCUCAUACCUGUUUCAAACAGCUCACAGCCACCUGUAACUCCAGCUCAGCAGAGUCAUUGCCCCACAGGACAUCCUCCCUCCCACACAUACAUGUGCAAAUACCUACAUACAGAUGCAUACAUACCUCAGCCUCUCAAGUGCUCUGAUUGCAAGCAUGUGCCACCACCCUUGAGUUUAUGUGUGUUAGAAAUGGAACCCAGGGCCUCAAGCAUACUGGGCAAGCACUCAACCAACUCAGCUAUCUGCUCAGUCCAUACAAAAAUACUGUAUUCGUAUUUGAAUACUUUUUAAAGUAUUCAAAUUUCCCCUUGAAUAUAUUUCUAAUUUUAAGGCUGCAUACAGAAAUUAGGGCCUUAAGACUGAAUUUCCAAAUAUUUUGACCUAGGUGUUUUUUUUAUAUUUAGUUCUCCCUUUUUAUGUUACUGGGGUUUGAAAUCAGGUCCAUUUUGUCUUUCAGUAAAUGUUAGCAACAGAAAUGACUAGCCGUUCUUUUUGCAGCAUGUUCUUCAUAUGGGGUCUGUGUGCGUGUAAGGUGGUGUAUGCAUAUGUAUGUGUGCAAGUGUGUUUGUCCAUGUUUGCACGCAGAAACGAGAUCAUCAGGCAUCCUGCUCUAUCACUUGCCUUAUUCCCAUAAGACAGUAGCUCUCACUGAGACUAGAGGUUAUCAUCUAGGCUAGACUGGCUGGCCAACAAGCCCUGGUGAUCUUCCCGUCUCUGGGAUUUUAGGCAUGCAGCCACACCUGACUUUGUAUGUGGUUGCCAAUAUUUGAAUCCAGGUCUUCAUGCUUGCAUAGCAAGCAUUUCUACCUACCAAGCAUCUCCCCAAUUUUUCCAAUGCUUUGUAUUGAAAAAAAAUUGUGUGUAUAUCUACAUGAUCUCUCUCUUUCUGUCUCUGUCUCUGUCUCUCUCUGCCUGUCUCUGCCUGUCUCUGUGUGUGUGUGUGUGUGUGUGUGUGCAUGUGGUGGUAAAAGGCCAGCUUUGUGGAGUCAGGUUUUUUCCUUUUACCAUUUUGUGGGUCCUGCAGAUUGAAACACAUCUUGCCAGAGUGAUGACUUUAUCACCCUCCACAUCCUGUUAUGUUCUUUCAAACUAGGUAUGUUCUAUUUCAGAACCCUGGUUUGUGGGGUGGCAGAAGACUAUAUAACCUACUUCCAUGAGUAAUAGAUUUGAACUCAAAACAGUGAAAAAUAGAAAAAUCUAAAUAACAUUCUGUGAAAAUUCCAAUUUGAAGAUUAAGAUCAAGAAUACCAAAGUAUUAAUCUAUGUAGAAAUGUACAGAAAGGGGAAAGAUUAUCAAUGACAAAUAGAGAAUAUAAAGACUAAAGUCCUCCAGCAAGCAUUUCUGUUUUAGUAGGGCCAGCAGAGAUUGUGUCACAGCUAAAUAAGAUGACCAGGUAGCUAAGGACUUAAAAAUUCCAAUGAGCAAGUAUGCAUAAUUAUGUGUUCUUUUGCAACUGAAUUAAUUGGCUUGGUGAAAGGUCAAAGAUUUAGUCUGGCAACACAUAAUUGUCAAAACUACAUGUAGGUAGUGGAUUUAAUAAAAUGUUUUUACUGAGGGACUUCCACUCACUGAUUGCUGUAAUUCAGUAACUUGGAGUCUAAGGAAAGGUAAAGAUAUAAUUUUUUGGUUAGUCAUUAUCCUCAACAUUGUGUAGAAAGAAUUUGCUAUUAACUUGUGCUAGAAUGACUUGGCAGUGUUUGGUAUUCUUGAUUCCUUCAAUAGCUUUUUAACUGUGCUUUCACAGAUCAGUUUGUUAAUUUCCAGUGUGUGUGUGUGUGUGUGUGUGUGUGUGUGUGUGUUUGAAAAAACAGCCUCAUCAUUUAGCCCUCACUGUGGCUGGCCUUGAACUCACAAGGAUCUGUCACCAUACCAGGCAUAUAUAUAUAAAUAUAUAUAUAAUUACUGAUAUGGUAGUAUAUGGUUAAGAGUCAACACAAGCAAAAGUAAGCUAAAAUCAAUUUACCUAGUUGAGCUUUGAGAGGGUUGCUAUGUUCCCAUUGAGUACAUAGCUUUUAUUUUAUUUCAUUAGCGACCUAGGACAUUUCUAGACAAGUCAAGUAAGUCCUUUGAGUGCAAAGGGCUGAUUCAAAGUUCAAAGAUGAUUAGUUUGUAAUUGGGUUGAUCUUACUUAUUGAGGAAGUAUGGUGUGAUAAUAAAGAACAAAGUAAAUGUUCAUAAUUAACGUGCUCAUUUGCUUAUGAAAUUAGUUCUGGGCUUCUGAAGCCAAUAAAAUGGAACGGGCAAGAUGGAUCCAUUAAACCUCAUCCAUAUCUCUUGUUGAUUUUGCAGAUAAUUAUAAUGUUUGUCUUGAUCUCAAGAAGUAGUUGGGCUGAGGAUAUAUAUAGCUCAGAGGGAGAGCACUGGCCUAGCAUUUUUAAGGCCCUGGGUUCAAUCCCUAGUAUU
rnacentral:lncRNA from 1 species